rnacentral:rRNA from 1 species
UUGCGGGGGAUAACCAUUGGAAACGAUGACUAAUACCGCAUAGAAUCGCAGAUCGCAUGAUCAACGAAGGAAAGACGGCUUCGGCUGUCACAAAAGGAUGGCUCCGCGGUGCAUUAGCUAGAUGGUGGGGUAACGGCCUACCAUGGCAAUGAUGCAUAGCCGACCUGAGAGGGUGAUCGGCCACAUUGGGACUGAGACACGGCCCAAACUCCUACGGGAGGCAGCAGUAGGGAAUCUUCCGCAAUGGGCGCAAGCCUGACGGAGCAACGCCGCGUGUGUGAAGAAGGUCUUCGGAUCGUAAAGCACUGUUGUUAGAGAAGAACGACCGCUAGAGUAACUGUUAGCGGAGUGACGGUAUCUAACCAGAAAGCCACGGCUAACUACGUGCCAGCAGCCGCGGUAAUACGUAGGUGGCAAGCGUUGUCCGGAUUUAUUGGGCGUAAAGGGAGCGCAGGCGGUGACUUAAGUCUGAUGUGAAA